CGCAGCCCGGUAAUACGAAGGGUGCAAGCGUUACUCGGAAUUACUGGGCGUAAAGCGUGCGUAGGUGGUGGUUUAAGUCCGUUGUGAAAGCCCUGGGCUCAACCUGGGAAUUGCAGUGGAUACUGGGUCACUAGAGUGUGGUAGAGGAUAGUGGAAUUUCCGGUGUAGCAGUGAAAUGCGUAGAGAUCGGAAGGAACAUCUGUGGCGAAGGCGACUAUCUGGGCCAACACUGACACUGAGGCACGAAAGCGUGGGGAGCAAACAGGAUUAGAGACCCGCGUAGUCCCUGUCUCUUAUACAC
rnacentral:rRNA from 1 species